AUUGAACGCUGGCGGCAUGCCUUACACAUGCAAGUCGAACGGUAACAGGCCGCAAGGUGCUGACGAGUGGCGAACGGGUGAGUAAUGCAUCGGAACGUGCCCAGUCGUGGGGGAUAACGCAGCGAAAGCUGUGCUAAUACCGCAUACGAUCUAUGGAUGAAAGCGGGGGACCGUAAGGCCUCGCGCGAUUGGAGCGGCCGAUGUCAGAUUAGGUAGUUGGUGGGGUAAAGGCUCACCAAGCCAACGAUCUUUAGCUGGUCUGAGAGGACGACCAGCCACACGGGGACAGAGACACGGCCCAGACUCCUACGGGAGGCAGCAGUGGGGAAUUUUGGACAAUGGGCGCAAGCCUGAUCCAGCAAUGCCGCGUGCAGGAAGAAGGCCUUCGGGUUGUAAACUGCUUUUGUACGGAACGAAAAGGUUUGGGUUAAUACCCUGGGCCGAUGACGGUACCGUAAGAAUAAGCACCGGCUAACUACGUGCCAGCAGCCGCCGUAA
rnacentral:rRNA from 1 species